GCAUUAAUUGUACAUCAAACAUCUUUUGCUUCCCUCAGUAAAUGUCAGGUGACCCAGAUGGAGCUGCACCCUGAACAACCUGAGCACAGAAACAACAGGAAAUUGGAGAGGAAAUUCACUCACUUUAGCACUGUGAGAAGUGAAAGGAUUUUUGUCACCACUUUUCCUAAAGAGCUGAAGCAUUCCAUGUUUUCUGGAGUCCCAGAACCACGUGCACUUUGCCUGUGUUGAUGUCAGUUGUCCUCACUGCUGCUCCAAAAGUUUCCUUGGAAUGAAGGGACAUUCUGCCUCCCUGCCUGAGCCAAAUCCUGGAAUCAUUUUUCGGAGCUGCUGUCAGAAGUUGACAUUUUUUCACUGUUUGUUUCAGGUGACAAGAGCUCAGCAUUCCCUGGGGACACCAUACUCCUGUUCCUUGGAAUGGCACCUGGAUUUCGGGGCUGCAGCUGCCUUGAGCAAGCUUUUUUUCCUGCUUUUUCUCUGCUGAAUAUUCACAGGUGUCAAGGUCUGCACUCUGAAUUUUUCACUCUGCACUGAUGGCAUUUUUUGCUGCUGAGGGUCUGUCAAGUGCAUGUUUGGAAGCUUUGGCACCACAGAAAGAGGUGUUACGUUAAUUAACUGCUUCCACAACUUCCUCAGAGGGUUGGGAACAAAUGCUGCCUCCCCCUGUGCUGUCUCCAAAAAUCUGGUGGAAUAACUGUAAGUCAGGAGCUGAGUCAAUACUUAUUUCCUUUUUUCCUUGAGCUGUACCCUCAUGGAGCUCUUCACUUUGAAUAAAUCACAUGAUAAAGCAGCGAAAUUUCCA
rnacentral:lncRNA from 1 species